UGGCGAAGAGGUCACACCCGUUCCCAUACCGAACACGGAAGUUAAGCUCUUCAGCGCCGAUGGUAGUUGGGGGUCUCCCCCUGUGAGAGUAGGACGUCGCUGGGC
rnacentral:rRNA from 1 species